rnacentral:tRNA from 1 species
CCCUGGUUUGCUCAGUUGAUAGGGCACUCCACCUGUAAUGGAGAGGUCCCGGGUUCGAUACCCGGACCAGACG